UACAGAGGUCCCGAGCGUUGUUCGGAUUCACUGGGCGUAAAGAGCGCGUAGGCGGUCCGGUAAGUCCGCUCUGAAAGUCCGGGGCUCAACCCCGGGAGGCGGGCGGAUACUGUCGGGCUAGAGUCCGGAAGAGGCGAGUGGAAUUCCUGGUGUAGCGGUGAAAUGCGCAGAUAUCAGGAGGAACACCAAUGGCGAAGGCAGCUCGCUGGGACGGUACUGACGCUGAGGCGCGAAAGCGUGGGGAUCAAACAGG
rnacentral:rRNA from 1 species